GAGCUGUGACGACAUUGUGUUUACUGUGAUAGAUGGGUCUACCACACAUCUCUGAACCUUUCAGACGAAUGUUAACACAUCUGAGCUC
rfam:Vigna radiata var. radiata cultivar VC1973A chromosome 6, whole genome shotgun sequence